rnacentral:rRNA from 1 species
UACGUAGGGUGCAAGCGUUGUCCGGAAUUAUUGGGCGUAAAGAGCGCGUAGGCGGUUUGUUGCGUCUGCUGUGAAAUCCCGAGGCUCAACCUCGGGGCUGCAGUGGGUACGGGCAGACUAGAGUGCGGUAGGGGAGAUUGGAAUUCCUGGUGUAGCGGUGGAAUGCGCAGAUAUCAGGAGGAACACCGAUGGCGAAGGCAGAUCUGUGGGCCGUAACUGACGCUGAGGAGCGAAAGCGUGGGGAGCGAACAGG